AUCGCCUGCUUCUCGCCCUACACCCACCCGACCCGCCAAACGAACCCUAGCGCUCUUUCUCCUUCCCCUCCAUCCCCACAAGCUGCCACACCCCUCCCUCUCUCCCUCAUCCUCUCCUCACCUGCAGCCGCCGGCCUUGUCUCUCCACUCGCCUCCUCCUCUCCUCUACCACGUCGUCGUUGAUCCACCGCCGACCUUCUCCUCUGCUUACCUCCUCCUGUCCUCUUCCAUGUUGCCGUCGAUCCAGAUCGGACGUAUCGUCGUGGGGGAGCAGCGCCGGCAGGGUCAUCGCGGUGCAGGUGUGGGGUAGGAUGCAACGACAAGGGGAAGGAGGAGGCCGGUGAGGAAGUCAAGCAACAACGGGUGGGGGUAAGGGGCAGGGUGAGGCCUCGCGCACCUGCCGGCGGCCGGCGGGUCGACUUGUCGCGCCACCGCGUCGUCGUCUCCUCUGCAUCAUGAGGUGCCACCUCUGCCUCCACCCCCCGCCGGGCAAGGAGCUCGAGGUGAACAGGCGGUGUGGGAAGGCGAGAGGAAGCAGGAGCUCAUGUCUCCUCCAAUGGAUGUCUCGUGCAUCUGGAGUACAAGGAGAACAACACGUGCCUGUUGGAGGUGGCUCGAGCGAUGCAGGCCAGCGGCGAACUUGAUCUGACAUAGAAGACCACGUUCCUCAGGGAUCCCAGAAUCUAUUAGACAAUAUGGUAGUCCAAUGCUUUUUUGAAGUAUAUAUUGGCACUAUGCUGAAAAAGGACAUGGCAGGAAGUGAAGACAGCCAGUCAUCGCGCCAUAUUCCCGUGAGCUCCAUUCAUAUUACUAUAUGCUUAAAACGUCGUGCUCUCCUUCUCUACAUCAUGUGGUAGUUUGCUAUCAAACUCUCAAAAAGGAAAAACAAUGUUACUCUGUUUUUUGGAGAACCUUCCUGUAGAGUACCUUGACAGAGACAUAUGCGAUCGAGGAUAUAUUCGAUGGAUUUUCACGCAAAACUUGGAGGAUAUUUUUUGCAGGUUUGUUGCUUGCUUUAUUGUUUUCUUACUUUCUGUUGUUCAAGACAAUAUCUUCCUAGCAUUGCUCUAUAAAUUUAAAUCCAUCUUUUUGUUCUUUGGAUUAUCAUGGCGUACUCGUCCUGUCUAAUCCAAGAAAGAGCCUUCAUGUUUGCAGAUAGUUUGGUGUUCUCAUGGUUAUUUUGUAGUGAUUUUCCUUCCGUUCAUUACUUGGUAACCAUCUACCGCAGCUCAGCUAUUGUCCAGUUGCUGUCCUUAUGGUGAGUGAUUGAUGGUGCAUGUUUUCCUAUUAGUUUCUUUCUAUGCCAAUGUCUGAAUUUUAUCUUGCCGUUUUGCAUUUCUCCAGGCCUUUAAUUCUCACUGUGAUUCCCCGAGAUGCGCUAUUAGUAGGCAUCCACUUCCUAACAAAAAUUUGGCGGUCAACUUGAACGAGUCAUUUAUCUAGCUACAACAACCUUCAUUGCUUUUGCAGUCAACUUGAACGAGUCUAUACCUGCCAAAUAUUUACACGUUAGUAUAGCCAGAAAGUCAGAUGAUCGUUCCAUGUUGGUUAGCCGUGAUAAAUCAAAUUUCUAGAGUAGCAGAUGAUUCGUGUCAGGUUUCAUUUAGAGAUUGAAAUAUGUCUUGACUCUAAAAUAAGUAGUACAACGUCCAGUUCUGCAUAGGUGAAAGCAUACUAUCUAAAACUGGACGGCCUUCUAAAGCUCUGAAACUACUAGUUGUGUAAUAUGUAUCCCCUUUUCAUACUCUAUCUUUGCUUUCUACUUACUUACUUACGAAGCCUUUUAUCCCAAACAAGUUGGGGUAGGCUAGAUAUGAAACCCUUUCACGAGGACUUCCCAGGAGGUCACCCAUCCUAGUACUACUCUCGCCCAAAUGGGUUUCAUACCCAAAAGACUGGCUAGUUUUUACGUUGGCUCGCCAAGCCUAUCACAACCCUUAGAUAUGAAACCCUUUCACGAGGACUUCCUAGGAGGUCACCCAUCCUAGUACUAUUCUCGCUCAAAUGGGUUUCAUACCUAUGGGACUGGCUAGUUUUUACGUUGGCUCGCCAAGCCUAUCACAACCCUCCUCCUUUACCCGGGCUUGGGACCGGCUAUGCCUAGAAGACAUAGGCGGAGUUAUAUGCUUUCUACUUACUAGGAAAAAAUGCGUGAGAACGAUGGCCUAGAGGACGCGAAUUGCACUCAAAUAUAUGCAGGUUUCUUGCCAAACUAACUGCCACUAUUUUAUUUCAGGUGCUUCUUCUGUAACUUAGUCUAUUUUGCUGGCUCUUCUCAUUUCCUGGCGAACUUUUUAGUCUGUACAGUCGAAUCGUUGGAUGUUGCUUUCUACUAUCUAUAGAGGUUCUAUCCAAACUAUUAGCUGCCUGACUUGAUUUUUUGAAAUACACCGUCCUGAUAGACCAAGUGGACCCACACAUUUCCAUGGGAUUUUAGAAAAAUAUGUGAAUUUGCAUACAUUUUCUAAAUUUCUAUCUUUUCUUAUCCAUGCUUCCCCAUAGAUAUAUAGCAGGCUCAAAAAAAAUGAAUGUCUGAUUGUGUCCAAAUUUCAAGGAAGCGUGCUUCACACUUCUCUUUCUGCAAUAUGUUUCAGAGUAUAUGAUUUAAUUUUCCUACUUUCCUAGUUACAAUACUGUGUACUUCAUUCUUAGGUUUGCUUUGGGAAAAAUAGGUAUGCAGGUUAUUGAAAGCUCCAUUUUUCUCCAUUAUAUAGAUCAUAUAGCUUUGUGAUCAAAGGUAGGUUGUCACAUAUGGGAUGUUGCUUGUGAAAGUUAUAUACAGCCAUGAGUCCCUGGCAAAAUAAUCGCAGCUCAUGUUACUAGGAUCAGGGAACCUCGACCAUUUUUCUGAAACAUGUCGCAGCUCAUGUUCCUACUUUCUCAGCUACACUACUAUGUACUAAAUUCUUACCUUCACUUUUGGAAGUUACAUUGCUUUCUUUUCCCUCAUAAACUUGCUAACAAUAUUGGCGAAGUAAUCCCGACUUCAGAUUUCCCAUUGAAUAAAUAACUAAUUUAGUUUGUUAAAAAAUUGUAGGUCAAGAUCCAUGAAUAGGAGCAAGGCAUCACACCAGCUCUGAGAAGAAAAGGAUAUGAAGACAAAGAUAGACCAGUGUUCUGCUCCGAAGCAAAAACAUUUUGCAUGUAAUAAUGAACUAUAAUUUACCACAAUCUCUCUAAAAUAGGCCUACCUAUUACCAGUCCGUUGCUUGCUUUUGUAUUAGGAAGUAUGACCCAGUCAUAUAUAUUUACAUUCACGUUGUUUAGUUAUGGUUUGUAUGAAUGAAAUUACCUUUUUAAUCGAGCUUCAAAAUUCUUA